CUUCCGGUCCUUGCACAUUAUUUCCUUUUUGAUUAAUGGCGGCCGACCACGAGGAGAGGACGGUGUUCAAACAGAUAACGCAACAGACCACCGACAGCAUCUCGAGGCCAUUGAGCUGCACCACUUGUUAGCAAGCAAAUUGAGCUUUCAUGUUCAUCAAGGCGUGAAGACAUUUGUAAAACUGCACAGCGAU